rnacentral:tRNA from 1 species
GGGGUGUAGCUCAGUUGGUUAGAGCACUAGCCUGUCACGUUAGGGGUCGCGAGUUCGAGUCUCGUCACUCC